rnacentral:misc_RNA from 1 species
AACGCACCUUGCGCCCUCUGGUAUUCCGGAGGGCAUGCCUGUUUGAGUGUCAUGAACACCUCACCCCCUCGGGUUUCCGAUCAGGUGGAUUUGGGCGUUGCCAGUCACGUGGCUCGCCUUAAAUGUAUUAGCGGUUGUUGACGUAAUAAGUUUCGUCUUGUCGACCGCUCCUAAUCUCCUUCGGGAUGUCUUCUAGACACUUCAUGAUCUGACCUCAAAUCAGGUAGGACUACCCGCUGAACUUAA